rnacentral:rRNA from 1 species
UACGAAGGGGGCUAGCGUUGCUCGGAAUCACUGGGCGUAAAGCGCACGUAGGCGGAUCUUUAAGUCAGGGGUGAAAUCCUGGAGCUCAACUCCAGAACUGCCUUUGAUACUGGGGAUCUCGAGUCCGGGAGAGGUGAGUGGAACUGCGAGUGUAGAGGUGAAAUUCGUAGAUAUUCGCAAGAACACCAGUGGCGAAGGCGGCUCACUGGCCCGGUACUGACGCUGAGGUGCGAAAGCGUGGGGAUCAAACAGGG